rnacentral:rRNA from 1 species
CCUACGGGGGGCUGCAGUGAGGAAUAUUGGACAAUGGGCGCAAGCCUGAUCCAGCCAUGCCGCGUGCAGGAUGACGGUCCUAUGGAUUGUAAACUGCUUUUGCACAGGAAGAAACAACAUUACGUGUAAUGUCUUGACGGUACUGUGAGAAUAAGGAUCGGCUAACUCCGUGCCAGCAGCCGCGGUAAUACGGAGGAUCCAAGCGUUAUCCGGAAUCAUUGGGUUUAAAGGGUCCGUAGGCGGUUUAGUAAGUCAGUGGUGAAAGCCCAUCGCUCAACGGUGGAACGGCCAUUGAUACUGCUAGACUUGAAUUAUUAGGAAGUAACUAGAAUAUGUAGUGUAGCGGUGAAAUGCUUAGAGAUUACAUGGAAUACCAAUUGCGAAGGCAGGUUACUACUAAUGGAUUGACGCUGAUGGACGAAAGCGUGGGUAGCGAACAGGAUUAGAUACCCCAGUAGUC